rnacentral:rRNA from 1 species
CCUACGGGAGGCUGCAGUCGAGAAUCAUUCACAAUGGGGGAAACCCUGAUGGGGCGACGCCGCGUGGGGGAAUGAAGGUCUGCGGAUUGUAAACCCCUGUCAUGUGGGAGCAAAUUAAAAAGAUAGUACCACAAGAGGAAGAGACGGCUAACUCUGUGCCAGCAGCCGCGGUAAUACAGAGGUCUCAAGCGUUGUUCGGAAUCACUGGGCGGAAAGCGUGCGGAGGCUGUUUCGUAAGUCGUGUGUGAAAGGCGCGGGCUCAACCCGCGGACGGCACAUGAUACUGCGAGACUAGAGUAAUGGAGGGGGAACCGGAAGUCUCGGUGUAGCAGUGAAAUGCGUAGAUAUCGAGAGGAACACUCGUGGCGAAGGCGGGUUCCUGGACAUUAACUGACGCUGAGGCACGAAGGCCAGGGGAGCGAAAGGGAUUAGAUACCCGUGUAGUC